rnacentral:lncRNA from 1 species
UGUAAUACAGUAAACCAAAAUAUUUAAUUUAAUUUACAAUAACCAGAGGGCCUCCGAAUAAAUAAAAGUAAAGAGGACUGUGAACUUACAGUUUGGAAAAUGCAGAUCCAAUGAUAGUCCUUGAUGAGAUCAACUAUCUACAGUUUAUACUGAACCUGAAAUGGAUGGAAAGGAGGGUGGUGAGAUUAUAAAAUCCUAAUGAGUAAACAGACAUCAUCAUAAACAUCUAGAGUUGAGUACAUGGAGACAAUAAAGUAAAUCAUCGUAAACUGGGUCACAGUAUUAGAACACAUUUCAUUCAAAGUACGUAAAGAGGCUUAUGAAUCUCAUAAAAACUAAGCCUGCGCCAUAAAUCCAUUCUCGGGGACACUUUGGCCGAGGCAUCCUACCGAGACCGUCAAGGCUGUUAAAAAUUCACAUUUCACAUAAAACACAUUUUUCGUUGGACAUCACAGUCGUUCCUUGGCGUUGGCUGAGUUCUCCCUCACGUGGUGGUUUAGCGUGAAGUGAACCCUAAACUUUACCCUAGGAGAUACCCUACGCGCCUCUCCGUUCGGGGUAAGAAUAUAAUGGGGUUUACCGUGCCCCUCUAAAAGGCUGGUCCACAGAAACCCCCUACUGCAGUGAUUAAUUAAUAUAUAAUUCACCAUACAAUAAAACUCAAUAACAUGAUAUGGUAAUUUUUGUAAUUCGCGAUCUUUCAAGGCAACCAAACAAUUCAUAUUUCAAUACAAAUGCCAACUAGCCAAUCAUGCCCGAUUUAUCAUAAGCCAAUCAAUUUAAACAAUCGAAUUGCAACAAUUAACAGUCUCCGUGUACUCUAUUUUUUAAAAUCAUUAUUAAUUUCAAAACAAUUUAUAAAUUAAUUUCAUUGAAACACAUUUAUUCAUAAAACAUGAAAAUUUACCUUUUUAAAUCCCUUUUUCCAUAGAAUUCAUGAUAUCAUCUAAAAACCACCUUAGAUAAUUAAAAUGACAGUAAGUUUAGUCACAAUGUCUAAAGUGCAUAUUCUCGAAAUACUCAGACUACUGGUCCUCGGAUGCAAUUCCCUUGCCUUUAUCGGAGGACUCGCCACCUUGACACAAUACAAAAUCGAGAAACUCACUACAUUGGUACUAAAUUGAAAUUAAACUAAUUUAGACUACUAAUGCAUGAUAUGAAAUGCAAAAAUGCACUGGUAACUAUCUAAACCCGGUAUUGACCUAAUUCGUCUUAUCACCCGAUUAAAUUACUAACGCGUCCAAUUUAAUCCCAAAUUACUCCAAAUUGUUCCAAUUCUUUUCCAAUAUCUUAAUUCACCAAACUCAAAUCAAAUAACCUAAAAUUUGGUUAAACUAUCUUCACUUUUCUUCUUAAAAUUUUCGGCCAAUAAUGGUGCAUUAACACCAUGAUUUUUCCUACUACUUUUUCAUACCAUAAUUCAUCAUUUUCUAACCAAUUCUCCUAGAAUAAAAAUCAAAUUCAUCCUCACUUAAAACAUGGUAAAUUCGGCCACUGAUGGUUGUUGGAGAAAAUAAAUUCUUUUCUUGUUAUUUUGUUUCUAAAUAUGCUAAACUAACUAAAAACACUAACAUAACUUAAAAUCAAGUCAAUCCAACAACUUUCUCUCUCCAUACCCAUUUUGAUCAGCCAUCAAUUCAUCAUGAAAACAUGUAAUUUAAGCAUGGAAAAUAAGGAGAAAUGCUUAAGGAAAAUAGAUUUCAAGCUUAAGUUGAAAAAAUCUUACAUUUUUCUCUUGUUUUCCUUGAUUUUCCACACUUUUUCUCUUGAAAUUCUUCACCCAGGGUUUGUUCUUCCUUUCUUUCCCUCUUU